GGACUCCUACGGGAGCCGGGCUCCUCCAUCAACAGCAAAACGGCUCCGUCCGGACUCCUACGGGAGCCAGGCUCCACCAUCGACAGCAGUUGCAGCUCCGCCCGGGCUCCGCUCUCGGUACCAAUUGCAGGAGGAGCCGAGCCUUAAAAGAGCCGAGCCUUAAAGGAGCCGAGCCUCAUCCCUGGCGCCAACGACUACAACCGCAGGCAGACUCCUCCCGGACUCCUACAAAGGCCGAACUCCGACCACUGCCGAGCCUUGAUCAACAGAUCUGUGUCCCCUGGCAGAUAACAAUAACUGCCAUGAUCCUGUAGCGAAUUCCACGCGGCUCCACCUCCCCCUGCGACAGGUGCGGCACGAUCCCAUUACUCUCUGACAGACUGUGUCGACAGCUAUGAUGCUGCUCCGCUCCCUGCGACAGGUGCUGCACGAUCCCACUACUCGCUGACAACUAGCAGUAACGGACGCCGCCCCACUACCUGCAGCAGGCCCUAUGUGGCGGGAUAUGAUGAUGGCCACGUAUCUGCUCCACUAUCUUUCGCAAUCAAUUCCCCUGACCAUGGGCGGCCCACUACCAGGCGGUUGCAGACGUCGCCAUCAGUCCGUUGCUUCCCCCGCCUAUAAAAGUGGGGGGACUCAGAUACGUUAUUCCUUAAGCUCUUUUGCCUUAUCUCAAAAACUCUGCUAAAUUCUCCGUUCGAGCACUCCAUUCUUGUUGAGGCAGAGAACUGACUUGAGCGUCGGAGGGUCUUGCCGGAGCAACGCCACCUCCGGUUUAGACUUCCCUUGCAGGUCCCGGCGGCGACCGCGGCUUCCUCAACUCCAGCUUCUCCGACGC
rnacentral:lncRNA from 1 species